UACGUAGGGUGCGAGCGUUGUCCGGAAUUAUUGGGCGUAAAGAGCUCGUAGGCGGUCUGUCACGUCGGAUGUGAAAACUCGGGGCUCAACCCCGAGCCUGCAUUCGAUACGGGCAGACUAGAGUUCGGUAGGGGAGACUGGAAUUCCUGGUGUAGCGGUGAAAUGCGCAGAUAUCAGGAAGAACACCCGUGGCGAAGGCGGCUCUCUGGGACGGUACUGACGCUGAGACGCGAAAGCGUGGGGAGCGAACAGG
rnacentral:rRNA from 1 species